rnacentral:rRNA from 1 species
AUACGGAGGGUGCAAGCGUUAAUCGGAAUUACUGGGCGUAAAGGGCGCGUAGGCGGACCAUCAAGUCAGAGGGGAAAGGCCUGGGCUCAACCCGGGAACUGCAUUUGAAACUGGAUAACUAGAGUUUGGUAGAGGUGAGUAGAAUUCCUAGUGUAGCGGUGAAAUGCGUAGAUAUCGGGAAGAAGGCCGGUGGCGAAGGCGGCGCUCUGGAACAUUUCUGACGCUGAGGUGCGAAAGCGUGGGGAGCAAACAGGAUUAGAAACCCCAGUAGUCC